rnacentral:rRNA from 1 species
CAGUCGCCGCGGGAAUACAGAGGGUGCGAGCGUUAAUCGGAUUUACUGGGCGUAAAGCGUGCGUAGGCGGCUUUUUAAGUCGGAUGUGAAAUCCCUGAGCUUAACUUAGGAAUUGCAUUCGAUACUGGGAAGCUAGAGUAUGGGAGAGGAUGGUAGAAUUCCAGGUGUAGCGGUGAAAUGCGUAGAGAUCUGGAGGAAUACCGAUGGCGAAGGCAGCCAUCUGGCCUAAUACUGACACUGAGGCACGAAGGCCAGGGGAGCAAACGGGAUUAGAUACCCGGGUAGUCCCUGUCUCUUAUAC